rnacentral:rRNA from 1 species
AUGGGUAUGCAGUCUAUGAUGGAUGUCCGAUGCACGAACCUUGUCAGCCCUGUAUGCGACUGGCUUGGUGAGAUCUACGACCCCGCCUCCAGGGAAUUCGUGAUUCCGGGACGUGGAAGACUACCGUUGAACGAGGAAUCCGUGUUCUGCACUUUGGGUGUGCCUCAUGGACAUAUAAAAGUCACGUACGAGGACAACAAUGAGAUCGAGGAAGCGUUGUUCCCCCGUUUGUUUCCUGGGUCGGAAUUCAUGCCGAACACGUCUGCAGUGCCAGAUUCGCUGCAGGCCAUGACGACGCAUGGAGAUGUUUUCAAGAUGAAGCUACUCAUGUACCUCAUCUCAGCUGUUUUCGCGCCGACCACCUCUCUUCGCCCAAGCAACAAAUGCUUCCCCAUCCUGAUGAAUGAUCCAUCUUUACUACUUUAUUUUCCUUAG